AGAGACCCUCCUAAGUGAAACUGCAUAAGUGCAGUGGAGGUUUAGUUGCAGUAGUUACAUUUGAAGAAAUCCCCAAUGGGAAGUAAAGAAGUAAACAAAAGAGAAAGAAAAGAGUACAAAAUUAUUCUUUGUCCGUAGAGGUCGUAAAUUUGGAAUUGUAAACAUUUGAUCUCUUCAGGUUAUUGUGGAAAAUGUAUAAAAAAGAAAAAAGAAAAGAAGAAAAAAGAAACAACAGGAAAAAGACGAGGGAAAAAGCAUUUAGUUACUUUCUAUCUUAACUCAGCUUUAGAUUUUCUUGGCUGGGCAAGUGUAUACAUGUUGCUCUAAUUUAAUGGUUAUCAGGAGUGGCAAUUCCCAAAUUCGCAUCUCUCUCGAGAAGAUAUAUUAGUGUGGUUUCAUGUUUUAUUUCGAAAUAGUCAUGAUAUGUUUUUUAUCACCAAAGAAUGUAAAAUUAAGCGAUCAUUUUGAGGUAUACUAGUGGGUGGGGUGGAAGUUUAGGAUUUAUUCCAUCUUUUAUUUGAUAUAAACCUAAAAUUAUUAUUAUCUAUUAAUUGCAUAUAACUAAACUACGAACACCGGAAAAGACAUACUGUUGGUGUUGGUUGCUCCAACAAGAAGAAUGUCCACCACACCACUCUUCAGCACCAUCACCAUCACAAUAGCAGCACCUCAACAAACAAAAUCGAUUCCCUUCACCACCACACCACGGUUUCUCUCACCAUUCUCCGGCCAUCACCAAUUGCCUGUCUCCUCCUCCUUCAGAAGAAGCAGCAGCAGCAACAACCCGCCAGCGCCCGCUCCCGAAACACAGUGCCCCGUCCCUCGUGACCAGCAGCCAAUCAACGAGUACAACUCUCUCUCCACCUCCUUCCCCUUCUCCUGGGCCUCCGGCGACCCCGUCGAGUACGCGUCCCGCCUCUUCGCUCUCGGUGCGUCGUUCACGGUGCUUGUGGGCCUCCCUGUGGCGUGGUUCGGCACGGUGGGAGCGGAAUCGGAGCCGCUGGAGAGGGUGCUGUGCGGCGCCUCCAGCGGUGUCUUGGUUGUGACGCUUGCCGUGAUGAGGAUGUAUCUCGGUUGGGCUUAUGUUGGCAACCGACUGCUCAGUGCCACUGUUGAAUAUGAGGAGACAGGGUGGUAUGAUGGCGAGAUAUGGGUGAAAACUGCUGAAGUUUUGGCACGGGACAGACUCUUAGGAUCAUUUUCUGUCAAGCCUGUCCUCAACAGAUUGAAAAUCACUCUAGUCAGUUUGGGAACAUCAUUACUUGUAUUUGCUCUUAUUCUCUUCAACAUCAAUGGGGACCAAAGUCAUCAAUCAUCAAAAGAAAUCAAAGAUCGGGUCAUACCUGGAGUUUACAGUGAUGAAUCUGCAAAAUCAUUUGAACCGGACGCCUUUUGCGGCGAACCUGAUCUUCAACAAUAAUACAUGAGAGCUUAUUAAUGAAGAUUGAAGAAUUAUGAAUCAUGGACCUUCCUUGCAUUCAUUUGGAGGGAAGGAGUGAACAAUAUACUCAAUAGUAGUUGGACUUUGAGAACUUGGGGUGGGAUGCAUGGCGGCAACAGACGUAUGGCAAAGAGAUGGGCAAACGUGAGCAUUGUGAAAGCUGUCAUGCCUCAACACAACAACAGAAAUUAUGUUAUUAUGUUUGUCCAAAAGCCGAAUCCACAAAACCAAAAUAAAUUAAAUUAAAUAAAGAGAGAGAAUGUAUCUAACUAUCCUCUAUCUUUACACUAUGUUUGGUUUAAGAGAAAAUAUGAGGAAAGAAAAUUGGUGAAAGGAAA